rnacentral:rRNA from 1 species
UACGAAGGGGGCUAGCGUUGCUCGGAAUCACUGGGCGUAAAGCGCACGUAGGCGGACUCUUAAGUCAGGGGUGAAAUCCUGGAGCUCAACUCCAGAACUGCCUUUGAUACUGGGAGUCUCGAGUUCGGGAGAGGUGAGUGGAACUGCGAGUGUAGAGGUGAAAUUCGUAGAUAUUCGCAAGAACACCAGUGGCGAAGGCGGCUCACUGGCCCGAUACUGACGCUGAGGUGCGAAAGCGUGG